rnacentral:rRNA from 1 species
GAUGAACGCUGGCGGCGUGCCUAAUACAUGCAAGUCGAGCGAACAGACGAGGAGCUUGCUCCUAUGACGUUAGCGGCGGACGGGUGAUUAACACGUGGAUAACCUACCUAUAAGACUGGGAUAACUUCGGGAAACCGGAGCUAAUACCGUAUAAUAUAUUGAACUGCAUUGUUCAAUAGUGCAAUACGGUUUUGCUGGCAUUUAUCGAUUUAUCCGCGCCGCAUUAGAUAGUUGGUAAGGUAACGGCUUACCAAGGCAACGAUGCGUAGCCGACCUGAGCGGGUGAGCGGCUACACUGCACUGGAGCUGAGACACAGACCACUAUGGGAGGCAGCGGUAGAGAAUCGUACGCAAAGGACGAGUGGCUAACGUGACAAAGCCGUGUGAGGGAUGAAAAUCUUCGGUUCGUAAAACUAUGUUGUUAGGAAAGAACAAAUGUGUAAGUAACGAGGAAGGUCUUGACGGUACCAAAUCAAAAAGCCACGGCUAACUACGUG